UUUCCGUAGGUGAACCUGCGGAAGGAUCAUUAAAAAAUCUCCUCUGAGCCGCAAGGCUCUAUUAUUUUGUGCAACGUUACAUAUGGUGAGGCGGGUUUGGCUGGGCGUCGCUGAUGCCCUGCCAUAUCUCGGAUCGCCAUUGUUUUACGCUAAACGUACGGUUUUGAUGUCAGGAGUGUUAUCGGAUAUCGGUCACACGAUAUACGAGUCAUAAUACAAAAACAACUUUCAACAGUGGAUCUCUCGGCUCUUACAUCGAUGAAGAACGCAGC
rnacentral:misc_RNA from 1 species